rnacentral:rRNA from 1 species
CAGUCGCCACGGGAAUACGGAGGGUGCAAGCGUUAAUCGGAAUUACUGGGCGUAAAGCGCACGCAGGCGGUUUGUUAAGUCAGAUGUGAAAUCCCCGAGCUUAACUUGGGAACUGCAUUUGAAACUGGCAAGCUAGAGUCUUGUAGAGGGGGGUAGAAUUCCAGGUGUAGCGGUGAAAUGCGUAGAGAUCUGGAGGAAUACCGGUGGCGAAGGCGGCCCCCUGGACAAAGACUGACGCUCAGGUGCGAAAGCGUGGGGAGCAAACAGGAUUAGAUACCCCAGUAGUCCCUGUCUCUUAUAA